UCAUCACGAACCAGGGAGAGAAAACGGAGAGCUUGUCCAGACAGAGGCGAUGUUUGUGGUUGUCAAGACUAGCGAGAGAUAAUCUGCGAGAUUCAACGCUACCUUAUAUCCGCGUCUGCUCGGAUCACUUUGUGUCAGGCCGACCUUCUGCUCUGUAUGAUGAUGCCAACCCAGACUGGGCCCCUUCUAUAAAUCUGGGCUGUGAUUGGAUGGAUGAGGGAACCACCCCCACUGGAGGCACACAAAGAUGCAAAAGGAAGCGUUAUAGGAGAGGAAAGAUUUUAGAGCAAGUUGCUGCUUCAGCAUUGCUUGAUCUAAGCAAUGCUGCUCAUGAAGACAAUGAGGAAUAUACUGAACAGAGAAAAUCAGUUAACGUUCAGACUGAUCUCACCUCUGAAUCCAUCACUGCAAUGCAGAUGGAAAUAAAGAGACUAAGAGAAAAACAGAACUAUGAGGAAGGAUGUUGCAGCUUUAAAAUUAAAGGACUUUUAAAUUCAA